rnacentral:rRNA from 1 species
UCCACGCCCUAAACGAUGCACACUAGUUGUUGGGAUGCUAGUCAUCUCAGUAAUGCAGUUAACACAUUAAGUGUGCCGCCUGGGGAGUACGGUCGCAAGAUUAAAACUCAAAGGAAUAGACGGGGACCCGCACAAGCGGUGGAGCAUGUGGUUUAAUUCGAAAAUACACGAAGAACCUUACCUAGCCUUGAUAUCCAAGGAUAUCAAGGCUAGGUAAGGG